GGGGACGAGGCUCUGAGAAGUCUGAUGACCAAACCAAGGUCACGAAGCCAACUUUGAGACCAUGCUCAUUGGUAGCCUGUGAAUGAGUCAUGGUGAUGACCCAGAAUGACUCAUCCAAGGCUGAAGAUCUAGCCAACCAGUCUGUGUACAAGGAGAACAGGAAAAUCAAAGUUACCAACCAAUACACAAGUGAACAAUUGGAGGAAAGCAAUGGAUUACAAGGACAAGUAGAUUACAAAAGAAAAUAAUGUUCACUGGAGGAAGGGCUUCGUCAGAAUGUAAAGGACUAUUGCUCAGGCUUUCUACAAAGAGAAGAAACAAAGCCGAGAAUGGAAUACGAUGCUUGCAAGAAAACAUGUUGGGAUCUUCAACCUGAUCAAACCAGCUAGUAUACAGUGCAAAGUGACAAAUCUUUAAAUACAAGCCCUUGACACCAGGGACUGUAAACUGCGCCAGAUCAAAGAAUGGGUAAAUGUUUACUGAUCUUUUUACUUAUUUUCCAAUUAAAAAAAAUUCUUCUGUGC
rnacentral:lncRNA from 1 species